CAAUAUCCCGCCUUUCCAAAGAAAAAAUAAAUUGAAAAAACAAAAAGCAGUGCACCUUCUAAAUUUACAAUCAGAGGGGAGAGAGGAAAUUAGAAAAUUAAGACGAGUAGAAAAUCCAUCUCGUCCGCCAUUAGAGAAUCAACAGAACUCGUGAUCUACAUCGACGAGAGGAGCGACGGAGAGUAGAAAGUGCCCUAGAAUUCGAAGAAACGAGGAAAAAGAGAAUUCUUUUUAGGUUAAAGGCCUGAAGCAUUUUCUUGAGCUGGCGAGAUUCUCAUACGAAGAAUAUGGACUGGAUUAGCGACAGUGAUGGUAACGAUGAUUAUGACUGGGGUACCCAUGAGGCAGAUCUAGUACCGGCUUCCGACGGGAGUGCUGGUCCAUCGAAAAAAGUAAUGUAUUAUUCCUCUUGAUUGAGGAGCAAAAAAUUUCAACUUAUUGACACGUCUUAGACAAAAUUGUAAUAUUGGUCUUAAAUCAUGAUUAGCCAUGAGCACCUUUUCUUGUUAAAGUCAGAAUUAACUUGUAUAUUCUUCUAAAUGCUAGUUAGAAUAAGCUUUCCAGUGUGAUAUAAGACGCAGUAUUCUGAAGCUGGAUAUCUCAUAUUCUAAUUCA